rnacentral:rRNA from 1 species
CGGACGGGUGAGUAAUGUCUGGGAAGCUGCCUGACGGAGGGGGAUAACUACUGGAAACGGUAGCUAAUACCGCAUAACGUCGCAAGACCAAAGAGGGGGACCUUCGGGCCUCUUGCCAUCGGAUGUGCCCAGAUGGGAUUAGCUAGUAGGUGGGGUAACGGCUCACCUAGGCGACGAUCCCUAGCUGGUCUGAGAGGAUGACCAGCCACACUGGAACUGAGACACGGUCCAG